ACUGGGCUUUCCAUCGUGCCAUUGCUGGGCUACCUUGGCUUGGCCAAGCCUCAUCUCCUAUUGUCCCAGUGUGAAUACCAGGAAGAAGCAAACAGCCUGCAGAUGGGACACCUAUUCACCCCUGAUGCAAGUGUGACUGGAGCUAUUGAGUGACUGAUGAGAUCUGUUGUAACAAUCAUUCUGGCAAAGGUGUGGAGAUGGCUCAGAGGAUUGAGCUGGGAGCAGGGUGGCCUCAGCCACAUGUGCUACCAUGGCUCUGAGCAGGUUACAAUUACCAGAUGAGAAUGGCCAAUUAUGAGAGAAUUCAGAGUACAAUCAAGUCCAAUAAAUGCCAUAGUGAUGCUGAGGACAACAAAAUCACUCAGUGGACAAACUCCAGGCAGGGUGGGAGUGUUGGCUGGGUAGAUGUGGUCAUCUGCCAAGUGGCCAUGCUGAGGCUUUGGGGGCUCUACUCCCACCACCAAUGGGGUCCUUCUCAGAGACUUGCACUCUCUUCUUCCAGCUCACUCAUAUUGUGGGGCUCAGAGAAUGUUAAUUAUUAGGGCCCAGCCCACAUGGAGGGCUUAAGAUGAAAGCAAGCUCAGAGUGUAAAGUCUAAUCAAUGCCCCACACUUGGCGUCAGGGCCUCGGCUUGGUCUGCUUGGAGAUGGAUCAUUAAUCUAGACACUCCGACCUGGAACACUGGGCACAGGAAGUCCUGAAACAUUCCUGACCACCCACAGCUCAGCCUGUCAGCCCCA
rnacentral:lncRNA from 1 species